UACGUAGGGCGCAAGCGUUGUCCGGAAUUAUUGGGCGUAAAGAGCUCGUAGGUGGCGUGUCGCGUCUGCCGUGAAAGCCCAUGGCUUAACUGUGGGUCUGCGGUGGAUACGGGCAGGCUGGAGGCUGGUAGGGGCAAGCGGAAUUCCUGGUGUAGCGGUGAAAUGCACAGAUAUCAGGAGGAACACCGGUGGCGAAGGCGGCUUGCUGGGCCAGUUCUGACGCUGAGGAGCGAAAGCGUGGGGAGCGAACAGG
rnacentral:rRNA from 1 species